rnacentral:lncRNA from 1 species
GGACGGUGUGCCAUCUACAGGACACUGCGCGGCCGGCCGCGCUGCGCGCCCGCGGGCCCUCUCCGCCGCCCCCCGGAGACCCCGCGCAGCGCAGCGCGGCACCCCCCUACCCCCCCACACCCCCCUCCGCGCUACCUGCGCGCAAGCGGCCGCCGGCGAGUAACUGCGAGGCGGGACAGAGGUGGGCGCGCAGCGCUGCGCACAGACGCGCGGUGUGGCCCGUCCCAGGCUCGUUGUGCUCUCCAGAAAGGAACGAACGCUUGAUUAUGCUCCAGCCUUUCACAUCAACAGCUUGCAUACCAACGAGGGGGUGACUGAGCAGCCUCAGGUAUUUAAAACAC